UACGUAGGGCGCAAGCGUUGUCCGGAAUUAUUGGGCGUAAAGAGCUCGUAGGCGGCUUGUCGCGUCGUCCGUGAAAACCCACAGCUCAACUGUGGGCUUGCGGUCGAUACGGGCAGGCUAGAGUUCGGUAGGGGAGACUGGAAUUCCUGGUGUAGCGGUGAAAUGCGCAGAUAUCAGGAGGAACACCGGUGGCGAAGGCGGGUCUCUGGGCCGAUACUGACGCUGAGGUGCGAAAGCGUGGGGAGCAAACAGG
rnacentral:rRNA from 1 species